rnacentral:rRNA from 1 species
AGAGUUUGAUCCUGGCUCAGGACGAACGCUGGCGGCGUGCCUAAUACAUGCAAGUCGAGCGGACCGACGGGAGGCUUGCUCCCUUAGGUCAGCGGCGGACGGGUGAGUAACACGUGGGUAACCUGCCUGUAAGACUGGGAUAACUCCGGGAAACCGGGGCUAAUACCGGAUGCUUGAUUGAACCGCAUGGUUCAAUCAUAAAAGGUGGCUUUUAGCUACCACUUACAGAUGGACCCGCGGCGCAUUAGCUAGUUGGUGAGGUAACGGCUCACCAAGGCGACGAUGCGUAGCCGACCUGAGAGGGCGACGGCCACACUGGGACUGAGACACGGCCCAGACUCCUACGGGAGGCAGCAGUAGGGAAUCUUCCGCAAUGGACGAAAGUCUGACGGAGCAACGCCGCGUGAGUGAUGAAGGUUUUCGGAUCGUAAAACUCUGUUGUUAGGGAAGAACAAGUACCGUUCGAAUAGGGCGGUACCUUGACGGUACCUAACCAGAAAGCCACGGCUAACUACGUGCCAGCAGCCGCGGUAAUACGUAGGUGGCAAGCGUUGUCCGGAAUUAUUGGGCGUAAAGCGCGCGCAGGCGGUUUCUUAAGUCUGAUGUGAAAGCCCCCGGCUCAACCGGGGAGGGUCAUUGGAAACUGGGGAACUUGAGUGCAGAAGAGGAGAGUGGAAUUCCACGUGUAGCGGUGAAAUGCGUAAAGAUGUGGAGGAACACCAGUGGCGAAGGCGACUCUCUGGUCUGUAACUGACGCUGAGGCGCGAAAGCGUGGGGAGCGAACAGGAUUAGAUACCCUGGUAGUCCACGCCGUAAACGAUGAGUGCUAAGUGUUAGAGGGUUUCCGCCCUUUAGUGCUGCAGCAAACGCAUUAAGCACUCCGCCUGGGGAGUACGGUCGCAAGACUGAAACUCAAAGGAAUUGACGGGGGCCCGCACAAGCGGUGGAGCAUGUGGUUUAAUUCGAAGCAACGCGAAGAACCUUACCAGGUCUUGACAUCCUCUGACAACCCUAGAGAUAGGGCUUCCCCUUCGGGGGCAGAGUGACAGGUGGUGCAUGGUUGUCGUCAGCUCGUGUCGUGAGAUGUUGGGUUAAGUCCCGCAACGAGCGCAACCCUUGAUCUUAGUUGCCAGCAUUCAGUUGGGCACUCUAAGGUGACUGCCGGUGACAAACCGGAGGAAGGUGGGGAUGACGUCAAAUCAUCAUGCCCCUUAUGACCUGGGCUACACACGUGCUACAAUGGGCAGAACAAAGGGCAGCGAAGCCGCGAGGCUAAGCCAAUCCCACAAAUCUGUUCUCA